ACGGGUGAGUAACGCGUGAGUAACCUGUCCCAGACAGGGGGAUAACGACUUGGAAACAGGUGCUAAUACCGCAUAAGACCACGGUAUCACAUGGUAGUGGGGGUAAAAAGGAGCAAUCCGGUUUGGGGUGGGCUCGCGUCCGAUUAGAUAGUUGGUGAGGUAACGGCCCCACCAAGUCGACGAUCGGUAGCCGACCUGAGAGGGUGAUCGGCCACAUUGGAACUGAGAGACGGUCCAAACUCCUACGGGAGGCAGCAGUGGGGAAUAUUGGGCAAUGGGCGAAAGCCCUGACCCAGCAACGCCGCGUGAGUGAAGAAGGCCUUCGGGUUGUAAAGCUCUGUUAUAGUUGACGAAGGAAGUGACGGUAGGCUAUAAGGAAGCCCCGGCUAACUACGUGCCAGCCGCGGC
rnacentral:rRNA from 1 species